rnacentral:rRNA from 1 species
UACGUAGGGUGCAAGCGUUGUCCGGAAUUAUUGGGCGUAAAGAGCUUGUAGGCGGUUUGUCGCGUCUGCCGUGAAAUUUCGGGGCUCAACCCCGAACUUGCGGUGGGUACGGGCAGACUAGAGUGUGGUAGGGGAGACUGGAAUUCCUGGUGUAGCGGUGAAAUGCGCAGAUAUCAGGAGGAACACCGACGGCGAAGGCAGGUCUCUGGGCCACUACUGACGCUGAGAAGCGAAAGCAUGGGGAGCGAACAGG